rnacentral:rRNA from 1 species
GACGAACCGUCAGAACGUUCUUCGGAAUUAUUGGGCUUAAAGGGCGCGUAGGCGGCGCUGUAAGUCAGGUGUGAAAUCCCACGGCUCAACCGUGGAAUAGCGCCUGAUACUGCAGUGCUCGAGGGAGACAGAGGUAAGCGGAACUGAUGGUGGAGCGGUGAAAUGCGUUGAUAUCAUCAGGAACACCAGUGGCGAAAGCGGCUUACUGGGUCUCUUCUGACGCUGAGGCGCGAAAGCGAGGGUAGCGAUCGGG